ensembl:snRNA U4 U4 spliceosomal RNA
AGAUUUGCUCAGUGGCAGUAUCAUAGCCAAAGGCAUGAUUAUUGCUAAUUGAAAACUUUUCCCAAUAACCUGCCAUGGACUUGAAAUAUAGUCAGCAUUGGCAAUUUUGAGUCUCUAUGGAA